UGCAAACUUGCUAAGGGUUUGCACCAUGAGGUGGGGAAGGGGCUGGAGGUAGAGCAAGAGAGCUCAUGAAAGCCCUGGGAAUAUAAGGAAAAUGCCUUGAGUGAUCGCUCCUGUUGGGUUCCACCGCCUCUGAUUUCAAGAGCGCCCGAGGGUGCUGUGAUUGAAAGUUACAGAAAGCUCAUUAAACCGGGCCUGGUGCAAGAGAAAAUGGAUGUACACAGAACAUUCUUGGUGGGAAUCCUCCCAGUGGCCCUCAGUCACCGUGACGUUGACAACAAUCAUUUGGUUCAGAGAUGAUGAACAGCAGCCAAGAGUCUGCUGGGUGCCAGGAUACCAUGCAGGCUGCAAACAAUCAGUUCAGAGACUUCAGAAGCAGCGUGAGAAGUGUUUCUAGAACCUUCCAUGUCAUGGAUGAGAAACCUCGCUGCCAACAAGGUAUCUGUGUCUUCUGUUCAUGGGAUCCCUACCUUCUGCUCAGGAUCCAGAGGAGAGGCUUAACUGGAGAACACAGCUACAGAAUCCAGCAGGAGUGUGAGUCUGCCUCUCCAGUCAGUCUGGCACCUCUGUCUCCACCCAAGAGCAUCUUUGAGACCUCAUAGAGCUAAGAAUUGUGUGUGCACUGGGGCCCCAUCCUCUCUCCAGCCUGGUGAAGACCCUUGACCUUGUAGCCCAUGCUUGCCCCUCAGACUCUCUCAGCUCCUGCAGACUCUCCCAUGCUCUCCAGCCUUUCUCCAGAGCACUUCUCAUGUCUGGCAUUUCCUGCUUGACCCUAAGUCAAGUGAGACAAAUGUUAGACUGGUCCCCCAGGAUCUUAGAGAAUUUACCUUGUAAGAGACAGCCCAUGACACUGUAGGGUUUCUUGAUGAUCAUAUUAAGUCUGAGUAAUUCUCUUCUUUGAGGCCAAGUCCUUUGUCUAAAGAGAAGAUUUGUGGUAUAUAAAAAGGCAAAUGGAGCCAUCUUCAGAGGGCAUGACAAGAAGGAGUGUGGGGGUUAGUCACUUUCUUUUCUAAAUGACAUCUCUCUCUUCUUCUGUGAGUUGAAAUCUACUAUCUUCCUGAAAACAGAGUGGGGGCAGAGUCCCAGAAUCCACUUAGCCAUGAACAUCUGUGUACUGGGUGCCAACCUAUUGGCCUGAUAUCAAAAGUCACUGUCUUCCACAAUGAAUAUCUGAGGCUGAGAUGGAAGCUGCUUAAGAUCUACAAGUUGAGCGUGUUAGCUUUUAACUUUCACAUAAAACAGAAUAAAAAAUUACCAAAUGUCAAAAAAAAAAGGC